UACGUAGGGGGGCAAGCGUUGUCCGGAAUCAUUGGGCGUAAAGCGCGUGUAGGCGGUUCGAUAAGUCGGGUGUGAAACCUCCAGGCUCAACCUGGAGACGCCACCCGAUACUGUCAUGACUAGAGUCCGGUAGGGGAGCGUGGAAGUUCCUGGUGUAGCGGUGAAAUGCGCAGAUAUACAGGAGGAACACCAGCGGCGAAGGCGGCGCUCUGGGCCGGUACUGACGCUGAGGGAGCGAAAGCGUGGGUAGCAAACAGG
rnacentral:rRNA from 1 species